UUUUUGAUUAAGGGGUUGCAUAUG
rnacentral:piRNA from 1 species